rnacentral:rRNA from 1 species
GCGUCUUGGGGUUGUAGGACAUUCCAUAUGGAGUUACCAAGAAGGUUGGUAGGUGAAUUGAUCUGGAAAGGUCAGCCGCAGAGGGUAAAAGCCCUGUAACCGAAAUCAACCUUCCUCCGGAAUGGAUCCUGAGUACGGCGGAACACGAGGAAUUCCGUCGGAAUCCGGGAGGACCAUCUCCCAAGGCUAAAUACUCCCUAGUGACCGAUAGUGAACCAGUACCGUGAGGGAAAGGUGAAAAGCACCCCGGAAGGGGAGUGAAAUAGAACCUGAAACCGUGUGCCUACAAGUAGUCGGAGCCCAUUAACGGGUGACGGCGUGCCUUUUGUAGAAUGAACCGGCGAGUUACGAUCAGCGGCAAGGUUAAAGGGAAGACCUGGAGCCGCAGCGAAAGCGAGUCUGAACAGGGCGAUUCAGUCGUUGGUCGUAGACCCGAAACUGUGUGAUCUACCCAUGUCCAGGGUGAAGGUAAGGUAACACUUACUGGAGGCCCGAACCCACGUACGUUGAAAAGUGCGGGGAUGAGGUGUGGGUAGGGGUGAAAUGCCAAUCGAACACAGAGAUAGCUGGUUCUCUCCGAAAUAGCUUUCGGGCUAGCCUCAGCAAAAGAGUCUUGGAGGUAGAGCACUGAUUGGACGAGGGGCCCUUCCCGGGUUACCGAAUUCAGUCAAACUCCGAAUGCCAAUGACUUAUGACUGGGAGUUAGACUAUGGGUGAUAAGGUUCAUAGUCGAGAGGGGAACAGCCCAGACCGCCAGCUAAGGUCCCUAAGUAUGUGUUAAGUGGAAAAGGAUGUGGCGUUGCUUAGACAACCAGGAUGUUGGCUUAGAAGCAGCCAUCAUUGAAAGAGUGCGUAAUAGCUCACUGGUCGAGUGACGCUGCGCCGAAAAUGUACCGGGGCUAAACACAUCACCGAAGCUGCGGAUUGUCCGCAGGACAAUGGUAGGAGAGCGUUCUAAGGGCGUUGAAGUCAGACCGUGAGGACUGGUGGAGCGCUUAGAAGUGAGAAUGCCGGUAUGAGUAGCGAAAAAGAAGUGAGAAUCUUCUUCACCGUAUGCCUAAGGUUUCCUGAGGAAGGCUCGUCCGCUCAGGGUCAGUCGGGACCUAAGCCGAGGCCGAAAGGCGUAGGCGAUGGCCAACAGGUUGACAUUCCUGUACCACCUCCCAUCCGUUUGAGUAACGGGGGGACGCAGGAGGAUAAGGAAAGCGCGUUAUUGGAUAAGCGCGUCCAAGCAGCAAGAGUUGUGUGUAGGCAAAUCCGCACACUGUACGCUUGAGCUGUGAUGGGGAGGGAAAUUUAGUACCGAAGUUCCUGAUUUCACACUGCCAAGAAAAUCCUCUAGCGAGGAUGGAGGUGCCCGUACCGUAAACCGACACAGGUAGGCGAGGAGAGUAUCCUAAGGUGAUCGGGAGAACUCUCGUUAAGGAACUCGGCAAAAUGACCCCGUAACUUCGGGAGAAGGGGUGCUCACUCAGGCUACGAGCCUGGGGAGCCGCAGUGAAUAGGCCCAAGCGACUGUUUAUCAAAAACACAGGUCUCUGCGAAGCCGCAAGGCGAAGUAUAGGGGCUGACACCUGCCCGGUGCUGGAAGGUUAAGUGGAUGCGUUAGUGCCUUUGGCACGAAGCGUUGAAACGAAGCCCCAGUGAACGGCGGCCGUAACUAUAACGGUCCUAAGGUAGCGAAAUUCCUUGUCGGGUAAGUUCCGACCCGCACGAAAGGUGCAACGACUUGGGCACUGUCUCAACGAGAGACCCGGUGAAAUUAUACUAUGCGUGAAGAUGCGCAUUACCCGCGACAGGACGGAAAGACCCCGUGGAGCUUUACUGUAGCCUGAUAUUGAAUGUUGGUACAGCUUGUACAGGAUAGGUGGGAGCCUAGGAAACCGGAGCGCUAGCUUCGGUGGAGGCGCCGGUGGGAUACCACCCUGGCUGUACGAACAUUCUAACCCAGAACCGUGAUCCGGUUCGGAGACAGUGUCAGGUAGGCAGUUUGACUGGGGCGGUCGCCUCCCAAAAGGUAACGGAGGCGCCCAAAGGUUCCCUCAGAAUGGUUGGAAAUCAUUCGCAGAGUGUAAAGGCAGAAGGGAGCUUGACUGCGAGACUUACAAGUCGAGCAGGGACGAAAGUCGGGCUUAGUGAUCCGGUGGUUCCGCAUGGAAGGGCCAUCGCUCAACGGAUAAAAGCUACCCCGGGGAUAACAGGCUUAUCUCCCCCAAGAGUCCACAUCGACGGGGAGGUUUGGCACCUCGAUGUCGGCUCAUCGCAUCCUGGGGCUGUAGUCGGUCCCAAGGGUUGGGCUGUUCGCCCAUUAAAGCGGUACGCGAGCUGGGUUCAGAACGUCGUGAGACAGUUCGGUCCCUAUCCGUCGUGGGCGUUGGAAAUUUGAGAGGAGCUGUCCUUAGUACGAGAGGACCAGGAUGGACACACCGCUGGUGU